GGAGGGUGCUAGCGUUGUUCGGAAUCACUGGGCGUAAAGGGCGCGUAGGCGGCGCAUCGUGUCGGCUUUGUGAAAGCCCGGGGCUCAACCCCGGAGGUGCGGCCGAAACUGAUGUGCUGGAGGCCGGAAGAGGAGGGUGGAAUACCCAGUGUAGAGGUGAAAUUCGUAGAUAUUGGGUGGAACACCGGUGGCGAAAGCGGCUCUCUGGUCCGGACCUGACGCUGAGGCGCGAAAGCGUGGGGAGCAAACAGGAUUAGAUACCCUGGUAGUCCACGCCCUAAACGAUGCGGGCUAGACGUCGGGGGGCAUGCCCCGCGGUGUCGCAGCGAACGCGUUAAGCCCGCCGCCUGGGGAGUACGGCCGCAAGGUUAAA
rnacentral:rRNA from 1 species